rnacentral:rRNA from 1 species
UACGUAGGGGCAAGCGUUGUCCGGAAUUAUUGGGCGUAAAGAGCGUGUAGGCGGUCCGGUAAGUCGGUUGUGAAAGUCCAGGCUCAACCUGGAUGCCGAUCGAUACUGCCGGACUAGAGUCCGGAAGAGGCGAGUGGAAUUCCCGGUGUAGCGGUGAAUGCGCAGAUAUCGGGAGGAACACCAAUGGCGAAGCAGCUCGCUGGACGGUACUGACGCUGAGACGCGAAAGCGUGGGAGCAACAGG